AUUCCCAGUUCACUGUAUGGCUUUUUAUUCCUAUCUGACUGUGCUAAUGGCUCAUAUAGGGAUGGAAGCCAUGCACUGCGCAGGGAGCA
rfam:Xiphophorus maculatus strain JP 163 A Contig44.93, whole genome shotgun sequence.